rnacentral:rRNA from 1 species
UACGUAGGGGGCGAGCGUUGUCCGGAUUCAUUGGGCGUAAAGCGCGCGCAGGCGGCUUGGCAAGUCGGCCGUGAAAUCUCCGGGCUCAACUCGGAGGGGUCGGGCGAGACUGCGAGGCUAGAGGCAGGUAGAGGGCCGUGGAAUUCCGGGUGUAGUGGUGGAAUGCGUAGAGCUCCGGAGGAACACCAGUGGCGAAGGCGGCGGCCUGGGCCUGACCUGACGCUGAGGCGCGAAAGCGUGGGGAGCGAGCCGG